AGAGAUACACCAUUUCACAACUUCAGCAAAAGCCAAAGCAGCCAACAAAGCCACAGCCACCUCGACUCUGCUGGGCUCUGCCUUUUGGGCAGCUCACCAGCCACUACUCCCCAGAAGCAGAACAUUCUGUUUUUUCUCUUUUUAAACCCACGUCAUCAUCUGAUCAUAAUGAAAAUCAAUUUCCUCAAGCCAACAUGCAAAGGCGUAUCCAUGGCAACCUCCAGAGGAGGACAAGGAGAUGAUGCUCCAAUGGCUGCAGCAGAAAAGAACACCUUUACCCAGCUGCUUUCAUCAAAUACUGGAUCUGCCAUCUGCAGUCUCAGCUCUGUACCACUCACUGUCAGCUGCUUGGGAUGUCUUCCCUAGUCAUGCAAGCCCCACCUAUCCUUCAAAAUCCAGCUAAAGCUCCACCACCCUGUAUGCAGAACAAGAACUAAAUUCAAGAGAAGGAUCUGAAACAUCACAGAAGAAUGAAGGACAAUUCAGCUGGGAAAAAACUUGAAAACCCGUGGCCCGGCAUGGGUUCAAGGGUGCCUCGGACGCUGCCAGGAGAGGAGGGGAACCCUUGAAGUCCCGGAGGAACCAAGAGGCACAGUCACUUGUACCCCGGGAGACACUCCCAGGCUGAAGAUUUCAGGUGAGUCGGGUGAGGCUGGGGUCAAACCGCCCAGAUACGGGCGGGAACCCACCCCAGCGCGGCCCAUCCCUGCCAGUCCCCACCCCGCACACAGGGCACCGUGCCGCUCUCCCAGGCUAGCGAAGAGCCUCCUGCCCGCCGCCGGGAACCGCAUGAACAUGAGAGGGGCGUCGGAAGAGACCGUUGGCAGGGUCGCCGCCGUACCUGUCCUGUCAGGGGCUCCACGGCCGGUUCCGGCCCCACCGCCGCCCAAGACCCUGUCGGCCCCGCCCUCCCCGCCCGCCCCACCGCGUGGGCUGCCCGACGCGCCGCCCGUCCCCUCCGGGCCCAACCCAGAGUCCCUGGCCCCGAGUCCUGGAGGCACUCUGGGUCCGGGAAAUACGCUCUUCUUCCCCACAGUCCGGCAGGGGCUGAGAAAUGCACGCAGAGCGCGGCCGAGUAGACAUCGAGCAGGCACAAAGCCGGACACCUGGGGCGGAAUCUGCGCACGCGCACUGUGCCUGGGAAGCCGAUUCGGACCGUAGGAGGACCAUCGCAGCGAGCGCCCUCUGUUGGCGGAGAGGCGACAGCGCAGAAAGGCCGAAGGACCCGUUUAUGGGGGCAAAUUGGUCUGGUCUGCUCUGAAGUCUGUCAAUCCUAGAUUUGGAGAAAUAUAGGACUAUGGCAUUCCGUGUGCUGGAGUGUUUAGAAGAAAACACAACCCUGCUAUACAAGGAAAUGGGAACUUUACAAGAAACUCCAUCCAGCUCCUGAGCCAAGCUCAGGUAGAGGACUGGGACCGCACCUUGUCUGGGAUCCUGUGGAGAGGGAGUCGGAGGAGAGGAGAGGCACUGCAGCCGGCCGGGAACGCACUGAGAAGUGGAGCCCUGCCCCUCCACCCACUGCAGGUGGAGCCAGCUCCUUCCCCACUCACCUUCAAAAAGAAGCUGAAGAGCCAGAAAACUAAGCGAUAUGGCCAAGACAAAUGCCUCAUGAUGUUUGUGUACACAAUACCUGGUUCCACAGAGUUCACGGUUACACCUGAGAAGAAGCCACUGGGCAAAGCUGCGGAUGGAGGCCAGAGAGCUGAGGUCCACCUCACCAAGCAGCAGGCGGUCGUUGUUUGAGACUGCCUGGAUCUCGGCCAAGGCUUGCUGUCCGUGCUCCUGGCUCCGGCAGGCAAGGAUCACACGGGCCCCGCGACAAGCCAGCUCCUGGGACACCAACUUCCCGAUGCCUGUAGGUCUGUGGAGCAGUGCUGGAGGUUCCAAGGAUGAAACCUCUGCCGGAGCCAAGCACAUAGUCCACACAGGAGGACCACAGCGAGAAGGACAGAGCCAGGCCCCCAGACCAUGGUGCUGAGAGAAGCCCACAGCAACACAGUAGAGGCAGAAAAAGGAUUAGUCAAAACCAGGUGGAGACUGGGAUAAAAAACAGGUUGGUGACAUGGGUAGAGGCAAAUGAGGUGGGUAGAGGCAAAUGAGGUUAGUAA